rnacentral:rRNA from 1 species
UACGAAGGGGGCUAGCGUUGCUCGGAAUUACUGGGCGUAAAGCGCACGUAGGCGGAUUGUUAAGUCGGGGGUGAAAUCCUGGAGCUCAACUCCAGAACUGCCUUCGAUACUGGCGAUCUCGAGUUCGGGAGAGGUGAGUGGAACUGCGAGUGUAGAGGUGAAAUUCGUAGAUAUUCGCAAGAACACCAGUGGCGAAGGCGGCUCACU